rnacentral:rRNA from 1 species
GACGAACGCUGGCGGCGUGCUUAACACAUGCAAGUCGAACGGAAAGGCCCUGCUUUUGUGGGGUGCUCGAGUGGCGAACGGGUGAGUAACACGUGAGUAACCUGCCCUUGACUUUGGGAUAACUUCAGGAAACUGGGGCUAAUACCGGAUAGGAGCUCCUGCUGCAUGGUGGGGGUUGGAAAGUUUCGGCGGUUGGGGAUGGACUCGCGGCUUAUCAGCUUGUUGGUGGGGUAGUGGCUUACCAAGGCUUUGACGGGUAGCCGGCCUGAGAGGGUGACCGGCGACAUUGGGACUGAGAUACGGACCAGACUCCUACGGGAGGCAGCAGUGGGGAAUAUUGCACAAUGGGCGGAAGCCUGAUGCAGCAACGCCGCGUGCGGGAUGACGGCCUUCGGGUUGUAAACCGAUUUCGACUGUGACGAAGCGUGAGUGACGGUAAUGGGUAAAGAAGCACCGGCUAACUACGUG